rnacentral:rRNA from 1 species
AUGGGAUACAGAGCCAGAUCUAGUCGGGAGCAGCAACGGGGGGAAGAAGAAGCGGAAGGCACAGGUGCCCAGGCGCUCCCCACGUUUCCCCCGCCGCUCACCGCGCCUCCUCAGCCUCUCCAGGUCCGCUCCGACGGAAUAGGCGCCUCCCCCGCCGGCAAUCGCUUCUGGUUGCUGGCCGGGGAGGACGCUGAUGAGGAGGCCGGGGACUCGUUAGAAGAAACUGUGAAGACUCUGGUCAUGGAUAGAGCUUGCCACUACCUGCUUGAUAAGGAUGUUGGUAUUGAGCCUAGAAUUUCUAUGCAUGUUAGUAAAAAUAGAAGAAGCAAAAAAAAUGUGGAAGUAUUGAUAGAACCCCUGCAAAAAUAA